CAGAAUUCCACUGUUGUGUGUCUGAAUGCUCGGAGACGGUGCGACGGUUGAUCCUGCUCUUGAAACUGUUUUCGUUGGUGAAGUAAAAAUAGACAAUGACAGUAGAGAGAUGACAGGAAAGCACUGGGCAGAGAGAGGGGAGUGGGACCAGCAAUGGACCUCGAGACGGGAACCGAACACGGGUCGCUACGAGCACAACUGCGCACACAUGUCGGCACACCAACCACGAGGCCAUAGGCACUGACCUGAGGUAGUUGGCUACCAUUCCGAUGCAAACACACCGGGGAGAGAUCACAAAUGAUGGCAGGCUCCAAACAUCCUCUGUGAGCAGAUUUCCUUUGCUACAGAGUCUUGUUGUCGAAGAUGAAACCGAUGCACGUCCGGACCACCUCCAGUCUACGAGCGCUGUUAAAAACCGAGCUGGACUUGCCCAUGAUAGACACUGCAUAAAAGACAAGAACAGUGGUCCUGCAGGCACCACACACUUCCUCUCUGGACGGGUACUGAUAGGGGCGGUGUGCUGCUUGGCAAGGCCCUCCUGUAUCAACUCCUCCACCCUCUCCUCCUCCAACAAGGGAAAGGGCACCACAUGCACCCGCAG